UACGGGGGGGAGCAAGCGUUGUUCGGAUUUACUGGGCGUAAAGGGCUCGUAGGCGGCCAACUAAGUCAGACGUGAAAUCCCUCGGCUUAACCGGGGAACUGCGUCUGAUACUGGAUGGCUUGAGAUUGGGAGAGGGAUGCGGAAUUCCAGGUGUAGCGGUGAAAUGCGUAGAUAUCUGGAGGAACACCGGUGGCGAAGGCGGCAUCCUGGACCAACACUGACGCUGAGGAGCGAAAGCUAGGGUAGCAAACGGG
rnacentral:rRNA from 1 species